rnacentral:misc_RNA from 1 species
UAAUAAGUGUUUUAUGGCACUUUUUUAAAGUCCAUAUCCACCUUGUGUGCAAUGUCAGUCGAUCUUCUUCAUGGAGAUCGACCAAACAUCAACCUUUAUCUUUUUAAACACUCUUUGUCUGAAAAAUAUUAUGAAUAAACAAUUCAAAAUA